GAGUUUGAUCCUGGCUCAGAUUGAACGCUGGCGGCAUGCCUUACACAUGCAAGUCGAACGGCAGCACGGGAGCUUGCUCCUGGUGGCGAGUGGCGAACGGGUGAGUAAUGCAUCGGAACGUAUCCUGGAGUGGGGGAUAACGUAGCGAAAGUUACGCUAAUACCGCAUAUUCUGUGAGCAGGAAAGCGGGGGACCUUCGGGCCUCGCGCUCUUGGAGCGGCCGAUGUCGGAUUAGCUAGUUGGUGAGGUAAAGGCUCACCAAGGCGACGAUCCGUAGCAGGUCUGAGAGGAUGAUCUGCCACACUGGAACUGAGACACGGUCCAGACUCCUACGGGAGGCAGCAGUGGGAAUUUUGGACAAUGGGGGCAACCCUGAUCCAGCCAUGCCGCGUGAGUGAAGAAGGCC
rnacentral:rRNA from 35 species